GUUUGAUCAUGGCUCAGAUUGAACGCUGGCGGCAGGCUUAACACAUGCAAGUCGAGCGGGGGAAGGUAGCUUGCUACUGGACCUAGCGGCGGACGGGUGAGUAAUGCUUAGGAAUCUGCCUAUUAGUGGGGGACAACAUCUCGAAAGGGAUGCUAAUACCGCAUACGUCCUACGGGAGAAAGCAGGGGAUCUUCGGACCUUGCGCUAAUAGAUGAGCCUAAGUCGGAUUAGCUAGUUGGUGGGGUAAAGGCCUACCAAGGCGACGAUCUGUAGCGGGUCUGAGAGGAUGAUCCGCCACACUGGGACUGAGACACGGCCCAGACUCCUACGGGAGGCAGCAGUGGGGAAUAUUGGACAAUGGGGGGAACCCUGAUCCAGCCAUGCCGCGUGUGUGAAGAAGGCCUUAUGGUUGUAAAGCACUUUAAGCGAGGAGGAGGCUACUUUAGUUAAUACCUAGAGAUAGUGGACGUUACUCGCAGAAUAAGCACCGGCUAACUCUGUGCCAGCAGCCGCGGUAAUACAGAGGGUGCGAGCGUUAAUCGGAUUUACUGGGCGUAAAGCGUGCGUAGGCGGCUUAUUAAGUCGGAUGUGAAAUCCCCGAGCUUAACUUGGGAAUUGCAUUCGAUACUGGUGAGCUAGAGUAUGGGAGAGGAUGGUAGAAUUCCAGGUGUAGCGGUGAAAUGCGUAGAGAUCUGGAGGAAUACCGAUGGCGAAGGCAGCCAUCUGGCCUAAUACUGACGCUGAGGUACGAAAGCAUGGGGAGCAAACAGGAUUAGAUACCCUGGUAGUCCAUGCCGUAAACGAUGUCUACUAG
rnacentral:rRNA from 1 species